rnacentral:rRNA from 1 species
AGCAGUAUUGAACUGAAGAGUUUGAUCAUGGCUCAGAUUGAACGCUGGCGGCAGGCCUAACACAUGCAAGUCGAGCGGAUGAAGGGAGCUUGCUCCUGGAUUCAGCGGCGGACGGGUGAGUAAUGCCUAGGAAUCUGCCUGGUAGUGGGGGAUAACGUCCGGAAACGGGCGCUAAUACCGCAUACGUCCUG